UGGGGAAUAUUGCACAAUGGGCGCAAGCCUGAUGCAGCCAUGCCGCGUGUAUGAAGAAGGCCUUCGGGUUGUAAAGUACUUUCAGCGGGGAGGAAGGUGUUGAGGUUAAUAACCUCAGCAAUUGACGUUACCCGCAGAAGAAGCACCGGCUAACUCCGUGCCAGCAGCCGCGGUAAUACGGAGGGUGCAAGCGUUAAUCGGAAUUACUGGGCGUAAAGCGCACGCAGGCGGGUUGUCAAGUCGGAUGUGAAAUCCCCGGGCUCAACCUGGGAACUGCAUUCGAAACUGGCAGGCUAGAGUCUUGUAGAGGGGGGUAGAAUUCCAGGUGUAGCGGUGAAAUGCGUAGAGAUCUGGAGGAAUACCGGUGGCGAAGGCGGCCCCCUGGACAAAGACUGACGCUCAGGUGCGAAAGCGUGGGGAGCAAACA
rnacentral:rRNA from 1 species